GGGGACUUAGCUCAGUGGUAGAGCGCUUGCAUAGCAAGCGCAAGGCCCUGAGUUCAGUCCCCA
rnacentral:tRNA from 1 species